rnacentral:rRNA from 1 species
GCGAACGGGGCAGAGCCCAAACCGGGGCGGGAAACCGCUUCGGGGUUGCGGACUGCUAACAAAUGGUUGGACGAAGCAGAACCAGUUGGGAAACUGGGCCAGAGACGGUGAGAGCCCGGUAAGCGUAAGGAAGACCAUGGAGCAGGAUCCAGAGUACCACGGGGCACGAGGAACCUUGUGGGAAGCAGGGGGGACCACCCUCCAAGGCGAAACACUGAUAUGGACCGAUAGCGCAUAGUACCGUGA